rnacentral:tRNA from 1 species
UUUGUGGUGUUGUUGGUUAUCACGUCAGUCUAACACACUGAAGAUCUCCGGUUUAAGUCUGGGCGAA